UUUAUUGAUCACUCAGGAAUACGCCCUCAGUGAAAUUGAGGUUCCAGCAGCAUUGUAUAGCAGCAAACAGGGUAAGAAGCACACAGUGUAUCAAAAGUGAAAGUAUAAAAACAAUUUGCGAAUGUAAAUACACAAAUGUAAAUA